AGCUAAAGUUAAAUUGUAAUUUACGGCGGCAAUGAAAAUUUUCCUCCUGCCCGGGGAUCCGCCCCGGGAUAUACAGCUCUCUGGUUAUGCAUAUGCCCUACACGUAUAUGUACAGGCUCGGCAACUCUAUUGCCUCGCGCAGUCUGCCACUAGUAUUUCACUCUCAGUAAUCGCACGACUAACACUGCUGCAUCAUGAAACUUCUGCGCAGCAAAAAUUAGACUAGUAGAUGCUGGGGUGGCUCCCCCUCCCCCUCACAUCAUAUUACAUCAGGCGGCGCUGCAG
rnacentral:lncRNA from 1 species